UUGGGAAUCUUGCACAAUGGGGGAAACCCUGAUGCAGCGACGCCGCGUGGAGGAUGACGGGUCUAGGCCUGUAAACUCCUUUUAUCAGGAAAGACUUAGGACGGUACCUGAUGAAUAAGCCCCGGCUAACUACGUGCCAGCAGCCGCGGUAAGACGUAGGGGGCAAGCGUUGUCCGGAUUUACUGGGCGUAAAGGGCGCGUAGGCGGCCUGUUAAGUGUGAAGUGAAAUCUCCAGAGCUCAACUCGGAAA
rnacentral:rRNA from 1 species